rnacentral:lncRNA from 1 species
GAAAUUUGUUCCAGUAGAAGAUGUUUGCCAAUAAAAGCAAAGUAAAUGUCUAAGUUAUUCUUUGACUUUCGAGUUUUUUCCUUGUCUAGGUAUACUAAAUUUUAAGACUUAGAUAUAACAUACUUACUUAUCUACAUUGAACUGCCAAUAUUCUGCAGUAUCGGCGUUUAAAUACACUAUAGUAUCCUGAAUGAUUGAUCCAUUCGGAUAACUAGUUUUAUGAACAUGUUUUGGAUCAAAGAAUCCCAACAUAAUAUUACCUCCUCUGUUAGAAUUACGGUCCCU